rnacentral:rRNA from 1 species
AUUGAACGCUGGCGGCAUGCCUUACACAUGCAAGUCGAACGGUAACAGGUCUUCGGAUGCUGACGAGUGGCGAACGGGUGAGUAAUACAUCGGAACGUGCCUAGUAGUGGGGGAUAACUACUCGAAAGAGUGGCUAAUACCGCAUGAGAUCUACGGAUGAAAGCAGGGGAUCGCAAGACCUUGUGCUACUAGAGCGGCCGAUGGCAGGAUUAGGUAGUUGGUGGGAUAAAAGCUUACCAAGCCGACGAUCUGUAGCUGGUCUGAGAGGACGAUCAGCCAAAGUGGGACUGAGACACGGCCCAGACUCCUACGGGAGGCAGCAGUGGGGAAUUUUGGACAAUGGGCGAAAGCCUGAUCCAGCAAUGCCGCGUGCAGGAUGAAGGCCUUCGGGUUGUAAACUGCUUUUGUACGGAACGAAAAGCCCCGGGUUAAUACCCUGGGGUCAUGACGGUACCGUAAGAAUAAGCACCGGCUAACUACGUGCCAGCCGCCGCAGUAA